rnacentral:rRNA from 1 species
UACGGUGGGGGCAAGCGUUGUUCGGAAUUACUGGGCGUAAAGGGCGCGUAGGCGGCCUUCUAAGUCGGACGUGAAAUCCCUCGGCUUAACCGAGGAACUGCGUCCGAUACUGAAAGGCUUGAAUCCGGGAGAGGGAUGUGGAAUUCCAGGUGUAGCGGUGAAAUGCGUAGAGAUCAGGAGGAAUACCAAUGGCGAAGGCAGUGCUCUGGGCUAACACUGACGCUGAGGUGCGAAAGCGUGGGUAGCGAACGGG